rnacentral:rRNA from 1 species
CAGUUCGGAUUGCAGGCUGCAACUCGCCUGCAUGAAGCUGGAAUUGCUAGUAAUCGCGGAUCAGCAUGCCGCGGUGAAUACGUUCCCGGGCCUUGUACACACCGCCCGUCACACCAUGAGAGUCGGGAACACCCGAAGUCCGUAGUCUAACCGCAAGGAGGGCGCGGCCGAAGGUGGGUCCGGUAAUUGGGGUGAAGUCGUAACAAGGUAGC